GGGAAUGUGGCUUAGUGGUAGAGUGCUUGCCUACCAUGCAUGAAGCCCUGGGUUCGAUUCCUCAGCACCA
rnacentral:tRNA from 1 species